CGCUGCACAAAACCAAAAAGCUUUCUUUCCAGAUAUGUUUAGAACAUCAACAAUUAUUUGUUUUAGAGCCAAACCGAUUUAUCGGCUGAUAUGAACACACCAAGUGACUAUCUUUCUCUUUCUGGCUGUCACCUGUAGAGGGCGCUAUAUUCAUUACAACAAGCAUCAUCACUCUGACCAUCUUGUCUUUAUUAUCUUGUCAUUAUUUAUCUUUUCUAUAAGUGUUUGAUCACUGCAUUUGAGUGAUCAACACGAUACAUGUGUAUAUCUAUAUCCAAUAUAUCGAUUUUUCUCUUCCUAAUUUUGGUAUCGGCCUCAAAAAUCAAAAAUCCAUAUCAGUCGGGCCCUAGUUUGUUUUGACGUUUGCAGUAUUUACAUUAAAUUUUACACGUGUGUGACCUGCCAGGGAAGCAGAGUAGAUCUUUUUCAUGGCUCAUCGGCUCUUCCUC